rnacentral:rRNA from 1 species
GGGUGAGUAACGCGUGAGGAACCUGCCUCAAAGAGGGGGACAACAGUUGGAAACGACUGCUAAUACCGCAUAAGCCCACGGCUCGGCAUCGAGCAGAGGGAAAAGGAGUGAUCCGCUUUGAGAUGGCCUCGCGUCCGAUUAGCUAGUUGGUGAGGUAACGGCCCACCAAGGCGACGAUCGGUAGCCGGACUGAGAGGUUGAACGGCCACAUUGGGACUGAGACACGGCCCAGACUCCUACGGGAGGCAGCAGUGGGGAAUAUUGCACAAUGGGGGAAACCCUGAUGCAGCGACGCCGCGUGGAGGAAGAAGGUCUUCGGAUUGUAAACUCCUGUUGUUGAGGAAGAUAAUGACGGUACUCAACAAGGAAGUGACGGCUAACUACGUGCCAGCAGCCGCGGUAAAACGUAGGUCACAAGCGUUGUCCGGAAUUACUGGGUGUAAAGGGAGCGCAGGCGGGAGAACAAGUUGGAAGUGAAGUCCAUGGGCUCAACCCAUGAACUGCUUUCAAAACUGUUUUUCUUGAGUAGUGCAGAGGUAGGCGGAAUUCCCGGUGUAGCGGUGGAAUGCGUAGAUAUCGGGAGGAACACCAGUGGCGAAGGCGGCCUACUGGGCACCAACUGACGCUGAGGCUCGAAAGUGUGGGUAGCAAACAGGAUUAGAUACCCUGGUAGUCCACACCGUAAACGAUGAUUACUAGGUGUUGGAGGAUU